rnacentral:rRNA from 1 species
ACGAACGCUGGCGGCGCGCCUAACACAUGCAAGUCGAACGAGCGAGAGAGAGCUUGCUUUCUCGAGCGAGUGGCGAACGGGUGAGUAACGCGUGAGGAACCUGCCUCAAAGAGGGGGACAGCAGUUGGAAACGACUGCUAAUACCGCAUAAGCCCACGACCCGGCCUCGGGUAGAGGGAAAAGGAGCAAUCCGCUUUGAGAUGGCCUCGCGUCCGAUUAGCUAGUUGGUGAGGUAACGGCCCACCAAGGCGACGAUCGGUAGCCGGACUGAGAGGUUGAACGGCCACAUUGGGACUGGGACACGGCCCAGACUCCUACGGGAGGCAGCAGUGGGGAAUAUUGCACAAUGGGGGAAACCCUGAUGCAGCGACGCCGCGUGGAGGAAGAAGGUCUUCGGAUUGUAAACUCCUGUUGUUGAGGAAGUUAAUGACGGUACUCAACAAGGAAGUGACGGCUAACUACGUGCCAGCCGCCGCCGUAA